rnacentral:misc_RNA from 1 species
GAUGAAGAACGCAGCGAAAUGCGAUAAGUAAUGUGAAUUGCAGAAUUCAGUGAAUCAUCGAAUCUUUGAACGCACAUUGCGCCCGCCAUUAUUCUGGCGGGCAUGCCUGUUCGAGCGUCAUUUCAACCAUCAAGCCCCAGGCUUGUGUUGGGGACCUGCGGCUGCCGCAGGCCCUGAAAACCAGUGGCGGGCUCGCUGUCACACCGGGCGUAGUAGAUUUUAUCUCGCUCAGGGCGUGCUGCGGGUUCCGGCCGUUAAAAAGCCUUUUUUACCCAAGGUUGACCUCGGAUCAGGUAGGAAGACCCGCUGAACUUAAGCAUAUCAAUAAGCGGAGGA